AAACCUUCAACCCCCCUCGUCGCAUCUGUCGAGGAGGGAGGUUGGACUUGGGUGCUGCCGCCGCUCUCUCUGCGGCUCACCUCAAAUGCAUUAGUCGACUCUUGCUGGCCUCACCUUUGACGUGAUAGACAUCGUCGUCGAGGUUCAGGUUGGCCCACCUGGAGCGGCUCACAACUGUCUUUGGACAUCGAAAGAUACACAUGACCC
rnacentral:misc_RNA from 1 species